rnacentral:rRNA from 1 species
GAUGAACGCUGGCGGCGUGCCUAACACAUGCAAGUCGAACGAAGCACUUGUAUUUGAUUCUUCGGAUGAAGAUACUUGUGACUGAGUGGCGGACGGGUGAGUAACGCGUGGGUAACCUGCCUCAUACAGGGGGAUAACAGUUAGAAAUGGCUGCUAAUACCGCAUAAGCACACAGUGUUGCAUGACACAGUGUGAAAAACUCCGGUGGUAUGAGAUGGACCCGCGUCUGAUUAGCUAGUUGGUGGGGUAACGGCCUACCAAGGCGACGAUCAGUAGCCGACCUGAGAGGGUGACCGGCCACAUUGGGACUGAGACACGGCCCAAACUCCUACGGGAGGCAGCAGUGGGGAAUAUUGCACAAUGGGGGAAACCCUGAUGCAGCGACGCCGCGUGAGCGAAGAAGUAUUUCGG